UCACUUGUGCGGUGCAGCCCUGGGUCCUCCUUCCCUUUUCGUUAGCAGCCUCUCCUCUUUUGCAGCCAGCCGGAUGGGGUCUGCCAGGGUCCUAUGCGCAGAACAGGAAUUUCCACGCUGGGACCUGAAACUCAGAGAAGAGCUGGGUCUGCAGCCCCUGUCCUCCACGGCUUAUCACGGUCGUGAAACCUCCGGAAUGCUCUAAGGGGCACCCACCACACACAUCCACGCCCACGACACACGCAGUGCACCUUCUACAUGCAAACAAAUCCAUUGAGAGGUACUUUCCAGUAACCAAACUGGCCAAGAGCUCUGGAGAAAUGUGAUGGCGAUGGUAUAAAAGAGGAGGAGUCUUACUGUGCUGGAGCCCUGGCUGGCCUGGGGCCUAUGGUGUAGCCCAAGAUGAUUUGGAACUGACCAACAAACAGUCAACUCUGACAGUAUUGGGCAAACAGUCUUUGAAGAGAGAUCAUGUCAUGUAAAUCUCAUUCUUCUACAGAUUCUUAUUAAAGAUUACAUGGAUGCGUUUUGAUGGCCUAAA